rnacentral:rRNA from 1 species
AUUACCGCGGCUGCUGGCACGGAGUUAGCCGGAGCUUAUUCUCCCGGUACUGUCAUUAUCAUCCCGGGUAAAAGAGCUUUACAACCCUAAGGCCUUCAUCACUCACGCGGCAUUGCUGGAUCAGGCUUUCGCCCAUUGUCCAAUAUUCCCCACUGCUGCCUCCCGUG